rnacentral:rRNA from 1 species
CCUACGGGGUGCACCAGUGGGGAAUAUUGCACAAUGGGCGCAAGCCUGAUGCAGCCAUGCCGCGUGUAUGAAGAAGGCCUUCGGGUUGUAAAGUACUUUCAGCGGGGAGGAAGGUGUUGAGGUUAAUAACCUCAGCAAUUAACGUUACCCGCAGAAGAAGCACCGGCUAACUCCGUGCCAGCAGCUGCGGUAAUACGGAGGGUGCAAGCGUUAAUCGGAAUUACUGGGCGUAAAGCGCACGCAGGCGGUCUGUCAAGUCGGAUGUGAAAUCCCCGGGCUCAACCUGGGAACUGCAUUCGAAACUGGCAGGCUAGAGUCUUGUAGAGGGGGGUAGAAUUCCAGGUGUAGCGGUGAAAUGCGUAGAGAUCUGGAGGAAUACCGGUGGCGAAGGCGGCCCCCUGGACAAAGACUGACGCUCAGGUGCGAAAGCGUGGGGAGCAAACAGGAUUAGAUACCCCGGUAGUC